rnacentral:tRNA from 2 species
GGGCCCGUAGCUUAGCCAGGUAGAGCACUGGGCUCUUAACCCAGGGGUCGCGGGUUCGAAUCCCGCCGGGCCCG